GACGAACGCUGGCGGCGUGCUUAACACAUGCAAGUCGAACGGUAAGGCCCUUCGGGGUACACGAGUGGCGAACGGGUGAGUAACACGUGGGUGAUCUGCCCUGCACUUCGGGAUAAGCCUGGGAAACUGGGUCUCAUACCGGAUAGGACUCCGGACUGCAUGGUCUGGGGUGGAAAGUUUUUGUGGUGUGGGAUGGGCCCGCGGCCUAUCAGCUUGUUGGUGGGGUGAUGGCCUACCAAGGCGACGACGGGUAGCCGGCCUGAGAGGGUGACCGGCCACACUGGGACUGAGAUACGGCCCAGACUCCUACGGGAGGCAGCAGUGGGGAAUAUUGCACAAUGGGCGCAAGCCUGAUGCAGCGACGCCGCGUGAGGGAUGACGGCCUUCGGGUUGUAAACCUCUUUCAGCAUCGACGAAGCGAAAGUGACGGUAGGUGCAGAAGAAGGACCGGCCAACUACGUGCCAGCCGCCGCCGUAA
rnacentral:rRNA from 1 species